GGCUGGAUGGCAGAGUGUUAUGCAACGACCUGCAACGUCGGAUACCCUGGUUUAAUUCCAGGUCCAGCCU
rnacentral:tRNA from 1 species